UGAAGUAAGUAAGGGCGUACGGUGAAUGCCUUGGUGCCAACAGGCGAAGAAGGACGCGGCAAGCUGCGAAAAGCCUCGGGAAGCUGCAAGCAAGCGAUGAUCCGGGGAUAUCCGAAUGGGGUAACCUGAUCGAGGCAAUACUCGAUCGUUCAUACCUGAAUACAUAGGGUAUGAAACGCGAAACCCGCUGAAGUGAAACAUCUCAGUAAGCGGAGGAAAAGAAAGAGAAAUCGAUUCCGUAAGUAGUGGCGAGCGAAAGCGGAUGGAGCCCAAACCGAAGGUAUUCCUUCGGGGUUGUAGGACCACGUCAUAUUCGACCAUACUGGAUAGUAGAACAGCCUGGAAAGGCUGGCCGGAGAAGGUGAAAGCCCUGUAGACGAAAUCCAGAGUGGGAAUUAGUGGUAUCCUGAGUAAUACAUCACACGUGGAACGAUGUAUGAACCCGCGCGGACCACCGCGCAAGGCUAAAUACUAGUUGGCGACCGAUAGUGAACAAGUACCGCGAGGGAAAGGUGAAAAGAACCGCUGUGAGCGGAGUGAAAUAGAACCUGAAACCGUAUGUCUACAAAGUGUCAGAGCAGAGCAAUCUGCGAUGGCGUGCCUUUUGUUUAAUGAGUCUGCGAGUCAGUGUUUGUGGCAAGACUAAGGGCUUCCGGCCCGGAGUCGCAGCGAAAGCAAGUCCGAACAGGGCGCAAUAAGUCGCAGGUACUGGACCCGAAGCGGAGGUGACCUACCCUUGGCCAGGUUGAAGCAUGGGUAAAACCAUGUGGAGGACCGAACAGGUGAACGUUGAAAAGUUCUCUGAUGAGCUGAGGGUAGGAGUGAAAGGCUAAUCAAACCCCGUGAUAGCUGGUUCUCUUCGAAAUGCAUUUAGGUGCAGCGUCACGUGCUGAUGCGCGGGGGUAGAGCACUGACAAGGCUAGGGGGCACACCCGCUUACCAAACCUUAUCAAACUCCGAAUACCGUGCAAUGGAACGUGGCAGUGAGACAGUGGGGGAUAAGCUUCAUUGUCGAGAGGGAAACAACCCAGACCAGCAGCUAAGGUGCCUAAAUAACGCUCAGUGGAAAGGAUGUGGGAUUACACAGACAGUGAGGAUGUUGGCUUAGAAGCAGCCACCAUUUAAAAAAUGCGUAAUAGCUUACUCAUCGAGUGAUCCUGCGCCGAAAAUGAUUGGCGAUCAAGCGUUAUACCGAAGCUCUGGACUUUGCCGCAAGGCAGAGUGGUAGAAGAGCGUUGCAUGCGCGUCGAAGGGCGAUGGCGACUGACCCUGGAGCACAUGCAAGUGAGUAUGCAGACAUGAGUAACGUUAAGCCGGGUGAAAUCCCCGGCCGCCGUAAACCCGAGGUUUCCAGGGCAACGUGUUUCGUCCCUGGGUUAGCCGGGACCUAAGCCGAGGCCGAGAGGCGUAGGCGAUGGACAUCAGGUUAAUAAUCCUGAGCUCGCAACCCUUAAACUGGGGGGACGCAUGAGAAAAGAUGACUAGGUUAUUGAAUUCCGAGUUGAGUCCACGGACUCAGCGCAUCAUUGGAUCGAGUGCCAAGAAAAGCCCCAGCGUAUGCUAAGCGACCCGUACCGCAAACCGACACAGGUGGGUGGGUAGAAUAUACCAAGGCGUAAGAGUGAAACCUGGUUAAGGAACUCGGCAAAUUAGCCCCGUAACUUCGGAAGAAGGGGUGCCUGCAGCGAUGCAGGCCGCAGAGAAAUGGCCCAACCGACUGUUUAUCAAAAACACAGCACUCUGCAAAGACGCAAGUCGAAGUAUAGGGUGUGACACGUGACCAAUGCCGAAAGAUUAAGGCAAGGGGUUAGCCGCAAGGCGAAGCUCUAAACCCAAGUCCCGGUGAAUGUCGGCCGUAACUAUAACGGUCCUAAGGUAGCGAAAUUCCUUGUCGGGUAAGUUCCGACCUGCACGAAUGG
rnacentral:rRNA from 2 species